rnacentral:rRNA from 1 species
CUUGGUCAUUUAGAGGAGUAAAAGUCGUAACAAGGUUUCCGUAGGUGAACCUGCGGAAGGAUCAUUACCGAGUUAGGGUCUCUCAGGCCCGACCUCCAACCCUGUGUUUAUUCUACCCUGUUGCUUUGGCGGGCCCGCCUUAUAGGGGCCGUCGGGGGUUAUCUGACCCCUGAUCAGUGCCCGCCAGUAGCCUUCUUCAAAAACUCUUGUAUAACUGUGUUGUCUGAGUACUAAUUAAAAUCGUUAAAACUUUCAACAACGGAUCUCUUGGUUCUGGCAUCGAUGAAGAACGCAGCGAAAUGCGAUAAGUAAUGCGAAUUGCAGAAUUCAGUGAGUCAUCGAAUCUUUGAACGCAUAUUGCGCCCUUUGGCAUUCCGAAGGGCAUGCCUGUUCGAGCGUCAUUAUCAACCAUCAAGCACGGCUUGUCGUUGGACUCUUGUCGCUGUAACACGCGACAGGUCCGAAAGAUAAUGACGGGUGUCGUGUUGGACCCUCGAUGCAACGAGCUCUUUGUAGCACGCAUCGAACGUGGUCUGCCGCCCCGGUCUCCACCUCUAUUUUCUUCAGGUUGACCUCGGAUCAGGUAGGAAUACCCGCUGAACUUAAGCAUAUCAAUAAGCGGAGGAA